AUUGAACGCUGGCGGCGUGCUUAACACAUGCAAGUCGAUCGGUAACAGGUGUAGCAAUACAUGCUGACGAGAGGCGGACGGGUGAGGAACGCUUGGGAAUCUGCCUAUCAGCGGGGGACAACCCGGGGAAACCCGGGCUAAUACCGCAUACGCUCUACGGAGGAAAGCCGGGGACCGCAAGGCCUGGCACUGAUAGAUGAGCCCAAGUCGGAUUAGCUAGUUGGCGGGGUAACAGCCCACCAAGGCUACGAUCCGUAGCUGGUCUGAGAGGACGAUCAGCCACACCGGAACUGAGACACGGUCCGGACUCCUACGGGAGGCAG
rnacentral:rRNA from 1 species